rnacentral:lncRNA from 1 species
ACAUAUGUUCAUGUUACAAUAUCUCCAUAUUACAACCUCUUAAGAAAGCUAUACAAAGUUCACUCAUUUUUUAUUCUAAGCAAUCCUACGUAAGGAGUCCUAAGCGCUCUACUCUUGUAACGCCUUCGUGACCCCAUCCUCACAUAUGUCUUCAUUGGAGGAGGAUCGGUGGAGUGCCCGCAAUCACUGACCAGUGCUCCUUUCUCAAACGUUUGUUCAAACUAG